rnacentral:rRNA from 1 species
CUACGGGUGGCUCCAGUGGGGAAUAUUGCACAAUGGGCGCAAGCCUGAUGCAGCCAUGCCGCGUGUAUGAAGAAGGCCUUCGGGUUGUAAAGUACUUUCAGCGGGGAGGAAGGGAGUAAAGUUAAUACCUUUGCUCAUUGACGUUACCCGCAGAAGAAGCACCGGCUAACUCCGUGCCAGCAGCCGCGGUAAUACGGUGGGUGCAAGCGUUAAUCGCAAUUACUGGGCGUAAAGCGCACGCAGGCGGUUUGUUAAGUCAGAUGUGAAAUCCCCGGGCUCAACCUGGGAACUGCAUCUGAUACUGGCAAGCUUGAGUCUCGUAGAGGGGGGUAGAAUUCCAGGUGUAGCGGUGAAAUGCGUAGAGAUCUGGAGGAAUACCGGUGGCGAAGGCGGCCCCCUGGACGAAGACUGACGCUCAGGUGCGAAAGCGUGGGGAGCAAACAGGAUUAGAUACCCUGGUAGUC